rnacentral:lncRNA from 1 species
UGACUUUGGAGAAUACCAUAGAAGAUUUGUAGUUUUGGAGCAUCAAGUUCUUGCAAUUAAAACUUGAAGUUAUUCAGAAUUAAUUCGAAUUGGCUUUCGAAUUUAGGUAAAAAUUCAAAUCCUUUAUUCUUGAUAUAAUACGUACUUGAACAUCUAGAUGAACUUGUUCAUUAAAUUAAAGAUUUAUUUAUUUUUAAUUUCUUAGUAAUUUCGUUUCC